UACGUAGGUGGCAAGCGUUGUUCGGAAUUACUGGGCGUAAAGGGCGCGUAGGCGGACAGUUUAGUCAGAGGUGAAAGCCCAGGGCUCAACCUUGGAAUUGCCUUUGAUACUGGCUGUCUUGAGUUCGGGAGAGGUGAGUGGAAUGCCGAGUGUAGAGGUGAAAUUCGUAGAUAUUCGGCGGAACACCAGUGGCGAAGGCGACUCACUGGCCCGAUACUGACGCUGAGGCGCGAAAGCGUGGGGAGCAAACAGG
rnacentral:rRNA from 1 species